GAACGAACGCUGGCGGCGUGCUUAACACAUGCAAGUCGAACGCGAAAGGGGACUUCGGUCCUGAGUAAAGUGGCGGCACGGGUGAGUAACGCGUAGAUAACCUGUCUUUAUGUCUGGAAUAAUACGCCGAAAGGGGUACUAAUACCGGAUAUUUUUUGCAUUGCAUAAGCAGUGUAAGCAAAGGUGGCCUCUGACAUAAGCUACUGCAUAAAGAGGGGUCUGCGUACCAUUAGCUAGUAGGUGGGGUAAAGGCCUACCUAGGCUACGAUGGUUAGCGGGUCUGAGAGGAUGAUCCGCCACACUGGCACUGGAACACGGGCCAGACUCCUACGGGAGGCAGCAGUGAGGAAUAUUGCGCAAUGGGGGCAACCCUGACGCAGCGACGCCGCGUGAGUGAAGGAAGGCCUUCGGGUCGUAAAGCUCUGUCAAAGGGAAAGAAGUGCAUGGCGGCUAAUACCUGCCAUGUUUGACGGUACCCUUAAAGGAAGCACCGGCUAACUCCGUGCCAGCCGCUGC
rnacentral:rRNA from 1 species